rnacentral:rRNA from 1 species
GUGAGGAAUAUUGGACAAUGGGCGCAAGCCUGAUCCAGCCAUGCCGCGUGCAGGAAGACGCAUCUAUGGUGUGUAAACUGCUUUUGUACGGGAAGAAACACUCCCUCGUGAGGGAGCUUGACGGUACCGUAAGAAUAAGGAUCGGCUAACUCCGUGCCAGCAGCCGCGGUAAUACGGAGGAUCCAAGCGUUAUCCGGAAUCGUUGGGUUUAAAGGGUCCGUAGGCGGUUUAAUAAGUCAGUGGUGAAAGCCCAUCGCUCAACGAUGGAACGGCCAUUGAUACUGUUAGACUUGAAUUACAAGGAAGUAACUAGAAUAUGUAGUGUAGCGGUGAAAUGCUUAGAUAUUACAUGGAAUACCAAUUGCGAAGGCAGGUUACUACUUGUGGAUUGACGCUGAUGGACGAAAGCGUGGGGAGCGAACAGGAUUAGAAACCCUGGUAGUCC